CACGGAGUAAAGGAAGUCGGUGGUCAAAAUGUAUGCUUCCCUCUGGCGUUCUUCCUUAUGUCAUCGAAGAGUGAGGACGCCUACCGGCACCUCUUCAAUACAAUGCAACUGCUCUGUCAGCAACACGGCCAUGUUCUCCAACCUGCAUUUAUUAUCACGGACUUCGAGGCGGCCGCUAUUGCAGCUCUUCGACGUGCGUUUCCCGAAGCGACUCUACACGGCUGCCUGUUCCACCUCUCACAGAACGUAUUUAGAAGGGUGCAACGAGAAGGCCUUCAAAUGCUGUACGUAAGGGACCCGGAGUUCGCAAGUGCGGUUCGCCAGAUAAGCGCUCUCUCCUUCUUGCCGCCACAUCGCAUACGGAGGGGGUUUGAAUCGAUCAAGCCGCUUUUUCCGGAAGAGGCAGCGAGCCUUCUCCAAUGGUUCG